ACGGGUUCUCAUUGGGCUACCGUUUUGUUAGACACGCCCGUUGGUCUGAUUUGGUUGAAGGCAUAGAUUAUUUCCCUGCCCGAAUAUCUUCGUAAAGUAUUUACUCGGAGUGGCGGAUUGGAACCAGGUGUCUGGAUAACAUACCUGUACCUCCACCCACCUGCCCAAAGAUUAUAACUAUCGUUAUACACGAUCUGUCCCCACACCGUUGUCCCCUUCUCACAUCUUCGGACUUUCUUUGAAACUGCAAGCGACAGUUUGAACAUACGAUAACUCAUAAACAUGGAUAAAACGGAGCUGAUUCAGAAAGCCAAGCUGGCCGAGCAGGCGGAGCGUUACGACGACAUGGCUUCGUCCAUGAAGGAGGUAACUGAGAAGGGUGCAGAGCUGUCAUGCGAGGAGAGGAACCUUCUCUCGGUCGCCUACAAGAAUGUUGUCGGGGCCCGGAGGUCUGCAUGGCGGGUCAUCUCCGCCAUCGAGCAGAAGACAGAGGGCAGCGACAAGAAGCUUCAGAUGGUCAAGGAGUACCGGGAGAAGGUGGAGACAGAGUUACGAGACAUCUGCAACGAUGUAUUGGGGCUGCUGAGCAAAUAUUUGAUUGAAAAUGCCCCUAAUGCGGAGAGUAAAGUGUUCUAUUUGAAGAUGAAGGGUGACUACUACAGAUACCUGGCUGAGGUGGCCUCUGGAGACGACAAGAAGGAGACGAUAUCCAACUCUCAAGACUCCUACCAGGAGGCGUUUGACAUCAGCAAGAAGGAGAUGCAGCCCACACAUCCCAUCCGCCUGGGCCUGGCCCUCAACUUCUCUGUCUUCUUCUACGAGAUCCUCAACUCUCCAGAGAAGGCCUGCUCACUGGCCAAACAGGUAGGGAUGAUGAGACAACACAGCAGCCCACACAAACGGCACCAGAUCCCCUAUACAGUGCUUUCUUUUGACACCGGGGCUUUGGUCAAAAGUAGUGCUCUAUAUAGGGUGAGAUUAUGGGGUGUACUAUAUACACUGAGUGUACAAAACAUUACUUUCCAUUAUAUAGACUAACCAGGUAAAAACUAUGACCCUUAUUUAGGUCACUAGUUAAAUCCACUUCAAUCAGUGUAGAUGAAGCUGAGGAGCCUUGAGACAAUUACAACAUGGCUUGUAUGUGUGCCAUUCAGAGGGUGAAUUGUCAAGACAAACGUGUUUUAAAAAAAGUGCAUUUUGAACUGGUUUGAAUGUGUCAAGAACUGCAACACUGCUGGGUUUUUCACGCUCAACAGUUUCCUCUGUGUAUCAAGCAUGGUCUAGCACCUAAAAUACAUCCAAUCAACUUGACACAACUGUGGAGUCAACAUGGGCCGGCAUCCCUGUGGAACGCUUUUGACACCUUUGUAGAGUCCAUCCGCCGACGAAUUGCGGCUGUUCCGAGGGCAAAUGGGGAGGGGGGCUGCAACUCAAUAUAAGAAAGGUGUUCUUAAUGUUUUGUUUACUCAGUGUACACACAGCUGCAUUAUGUGCCAUCUCUCUCCUGUCCAUCUCUAUCUUUGCCUCAUCUCCCUGUUCAUAGGCAUAUCAACCAUUGUUAUUUGUGUGUUUGCAGGCCUUCGACGAUGCCAUCGCCGAGCUCGACACGCUGAGCGAAGACUCGUACAAAGACAGUACCCUCAUCAUGCAGUUGCUUAGAGACAACCUCACACUAUGGACGUCUGACAAUGCAGCAGAUGAGCCAGAGGCUGGAGAUGGAGAGAACUGAGAUGCUCCCUGUCAACCCUCGCCAAGAAAUACAAAAAAAAAAAAUGAGGAAAACAAUCAUUUUUACACCUUCAUUCCUUAUUGUUCCACUUGAAAUGAUUCUAGUAAUGAAUGCCUGUCGUACAAUGGAGCUGCAGUGUGUGUGUGUGUGUGACAUGAAUCAUUUUAGUUUUCACCACGACUCUGCUUUUUGGUAUGAAGAAAAGCUCAAUUAAGUAAAUAAUAUUAUCGCCAUGCCUCAGUUUGCUUGUCCCCGCCUUCCUAAUGUGCAGUUUCUGCUUUAAAAAAAUAUUAGCUUCACUUUAACUGUCUGUUCAACAUGACAAUAUAGGAUGUGUGUCCCCAGAAAGAUCGGUUUUCUGAAUUUUGAAAGGCCAUUUGCAAACGGCAAGUAUCGUGCAGCCUGGGCAUAUGGUGGGGAGGGAAAGGUAUGUCAAGCUGACCCAAAUUUGACAGGAAUUCUGGCUGCCUCCACUGUCCCCCUGUGUGUUGGUCUUCCAAAAAGGUUGCUAGGUAGUUGCAUCUGUCAACACCUGCUGGCCCAUGAAAGCCAACCUGACAUAUUGGGUUUAUCCCAAAUGGCACCCUAUUCCUUUUUAUAAUGCACUAGUAUUGACCAGAGCCCUCGUCAAACGUAAUGCACUAUGAAAGGUAAUGGGGUGCUAUUUGGGAUACAAAUUGUCUGGUAACUUGAAUACUCCUGAAACCUGUAUUUUAUGAAUCUGUGGGGGCUAUCCAACCAGUGGUUGCAUCCCUAUCACCUUUAUAGUGCACUACUUUUGACCAGGGCCCCUAGGGCUGUGGACUAAAGUAGUGCACUAUUGAAGGAAUUAGGGUGCUAUUUGGGAUGUUAACUGUCAACAGACCAAGUCCUAUCCAUGGGCUCUUGUAACAAGGUCUCUCCAUCCACAGUUACAAAACACUCCUUCCUAGUUAUAUUAUUCACCUCAAUGUGUUACUUUGUAGCAUGUCUGACAAUAAAAAGUUGGUACUUUAAGACAAAAAACAGAAUGUGGAAUGGCAAUAGAAUAAGUGCAUGCAUGCCCCUUUAUUUUUUUCACUGUACACUGGAAUGGGGAAUCAAUAUUGCAUACAGAGUCCCGUUUUUGUUCAGUACUUUUCUUUGCAGGUUUGUGCACAUGUCAGAGGGUGUUUGGUUUGUCCAGUGAUUGUCAUUAGAGAUUGAGACCACUAGUGUUUUUGCUAAUCAUUGAUUGUAGCCCCCAAACCUUUGUGAGAAUGUUUAAUGCCCUGAUGUUAUGUAACACCUAUGUAACAUGAAUAAAAAUGACAUUUUGUAAACCAUAA